rnacentral:rRNA from 1 species
UACGAAGGGGGCUAGCGUUGCUCGGAAUCACUGGGCGUAAAGCGCACGUAGGCGGAUUGCUAAGUCAGGGGUGAAAUCCUGGAGCUCAACUCCAGAACUGCCUUUGAUACUGGCGAUCUCGAGUCCGGGAGAGGUGAGUGGAACUCCGAGUGUAGAGGUGAAAUUCGUAGAUAUUCGGAAGAACACCAGUGGCGAAGGCGGCUCACUGGUCCGGUACUGACGCUGAUGUGCGAAAGCGUGGGGAGCAAACAGG